UGUGCGUGCGUGUCCUGUUGAUUCAAACGGUCAUAAACAUUUAAACUGUCAGAUGGGAAGUCAGUAAAAACUGAACCCUCCUUUUGUCCCCCAAACUGACCUGUUGAUUCAAACGACCGUAAAGACCAGUUGCUACGUGACACUGUGUUCUGCGAUAGUUUUUUCCAUCUGUUUAAAUAUGUUUUCGUGAGGUACGGAAGUUGUUUCAGUGCGUACGAAUGUGUGUGUGUGUGUGUGUGUGUGUGUGUGUGUGUGUGUGUGUGUGUGUGUGUGUGUGUGUGUGUGCGUUUGUCAAAGUGACAUAUGGGGACAUUUUUAUGAAAUUUCACCUUACAUAUGAGGACCUGUUGAAAUAUGGGGACAUUUUCCAUGUCCUCAUAUUUCCCGCAAUGCUAUCGUGUUCUAGACCCUCCCAGCAUGUUCCCAGACCAAAAAUCUCUAAAGUCUUCAUUUGUCAAAUUUUCAGAAAAAGUGUGUGAAAGUGUGUUUAAUUUUUUGGGUCACCCUCGAUUUUGCCCCUAGUGGCCAUCUUUGCUAUUAUGACACACACACACACACACUUGUCCUCAUAUGUCAUAUGUCCUCAUAUGUCAUGUGGGUCAGAAACUCACACACUCCAACAUUUUGAAAAACAUCUAAUCAUUACAGCAAUAAACAUACUUUUGAAAUCUAAAUCAAAUAACACAUUUUCAACUGAUCUGAUGAUCCCAACCUUUUUUAUGUUAGUUUUAUCUAUUCAUUUGGUUUAUCUGGAGAGGAUUUGGGCUAGACAAUUAGUAAUAAAGGGAUCAUGGUGAUGAUUUAAUCGGUUUGAUUCAGUAUUUUACUGUAUUGGGCUUUUUUGUAUUUUGUUGUCUAAAAUACAAUGCCGCACAAUAAUUACUUUAAAUGUGCCUGAAAAAAACCUUCAACCUUGAUUGAGACAAAGGCGAUAAUUCAAAUGGAAUUCAAACUAUAUACAGUAUUUAAUAUUUUCAAAUGGUUACAAUAGCACAUGAUUUUGGUAUUUUUAUCUUUGGGACAAAUUUUGGAUUCAAUUGGGGAUUGUUUUUGGAGGUAUUCACUUCACAUGGUGUUCAAGAUGGUUACUUCCGCCCACUCUGAAGAGUCUCGGCCUCUGAUUGGUCCAAUUUUCAGUUAGGCACCGCCUGAUUGGCCAGUGGAUGAUGUCUGCUCCUAACAGAGGGCUAAAUCACUAGUUAACUAUUUUCAUCUUGGAAGUUAUACAGCUCACGUAUCACACUUAAUAUUGAAUAUAUAUAAAAAGGGUUUUCCAAAAGGACCAUUUACAAUUGAAAUACAAAACUUCACACACGAUUUUGAGCACAACAGAGCGCUCAGUGAACAGCACUUCCGGGACCUGCAUCACCAGAGGGGGACAUCUAUCUUGGCCACAAACCAUCUUUGACAGUCUUCGGCAGCAUGGUUGAAUCAGGCGCAUCAACACAUGAAAUAGACAUCGUGUCCAAAAGAAGAGCGAGACGUAAUCCUGAGGCUGAAGCCACCGAGUUUAUGUGAUCUGGAUGUGACAAGUCUUGUUUUAAGGCCCAGUGGAUCAAUGAUUGGAAAGACACCAACUGUUGAUGUUCUAUCUCAACAUUCUCCAGAUUCAUGUGAGCGAUAAACCGACUUCAUCCCUCCAACAGACACCAACUGUUGGGGUUCUAUCUCAACAUUCUCCAGAUUCAGAUGUGAGCGAUAAACCGACUUCAUUCCUCCAACAGAAACCAACUGUUGAGGUUCCAUCUCAACAUUCUCCAGAUUCAGAUGUGAGCCAUUAACUGACUUCAUCCCUCCAACAGAAACCAACUGUUGAGGUUCUAUCUCAACAUUCUCUAGAUUCAGAUGACAGCCAUAAACCGACUUCAUCCCUCCAACAGAUUGACAGCAGGACAAAUCGCUGGAAGUAGGUAUGUCUCAAGCUUCUUCCACUUGGUCCACUCCAAAGCGGGCUGCAAAGGGGAAGAAGUGGAAGCAGUUGAAUGACACAUGUUGCAUUUUGUAACUGGCAACAAAGUACCAGGUAAAAAAGAUUGUGAAGCCUCCCUCCAUAAAGAACUAGUAACUCUACAGGACAGAGAUUGGCUUGACAUCAAGUACUACAUCCAUAACAGAAUUAUAUUUAAAAAAGGAAAAAAAAAUGUUUUCCCACAUCUUCUGUGGUAGUUUGAGUAUGUUACCAGCAAUUAAAAAAGCAAAAUAAACAGCAAGCGUUUUGUAUUUAUUCCAGAUAAUUCUUAGCGACAAAAUCCACAAAAACAAUUCAGUUACACUUAAUCGACAAUUACAUUUUUACCCAUGUUUCUUUUAAACUCUUCUUGGUUUUAGAUUACAGUAGCAUGGGAUUGGGAUUUUU